GUGCUCGCUUCAGCAGCACAUAUAUUAAAAUUGGAACGAUACGGAAAUUAGCAUGGCCCCUGCGCAAGGAUGACAUGCAAAUUUGUGAAUCGCUCCAUAUUUUU
rnacentral:snRNA from 1 species